rnacentral:rRNA from 1 species
GACGAACGCUGGCGGCGUGCCUAAUACAUGCAAGUUGAGCGCUGAAGGUUGGUACUUGUACCGACUGGAUGAGCAGCGAACGGGUGAGUAACGCGUGGGGAAUCUGCCUUUGAGCGGGGGACAACAUUUGGAAACGAAUGCUAAUACCGCAUAAAAACUUUAAACACAAGUUUUAAGUUUGAAAGAUGCAAUUGCAUCACUCAAGGAUGAUCCCGCGUUGUAUUAGCUAGUUGGUGAGGUAAAGGCUCACCAAGGCGAUGAUACAUAGCCGACCUGAGAGGGUGAUCGGGCACAUUGGGACUGAGACACGGCCAAAACGCCUACGGGAGGCAGCAGUAGGGAAGCUUCGGCAAUGGACGAAAGUCUGACCGAGCAACGCCGCGUGAGUGAAGAAGGUUUUCGGAUCGUAAAACUCUGUUGGUAGAGAAGAACGUUGGUGAGAGUGGAAAGCUCAUCAAGUGACGGUAACUACCCAGAAAGGGACGGCUAACUACGUGCCAGCAGCCGCCGUAA